rnacentral:lncRNA from 1 species
AAUCAUUGUUUUGCUCUGUUAUUUUAGAUCAUCCACACAUCCCGAUACAGAACUCAAACUCAUUCAGUGAUGCUGAUGAACAUUGGUGUCUGAGGUCCAGGAGGUUAGCAGUCCUGUACAAACCACUGUAAAUGCACAUUCAGGUCAUUAUGAUCAUCCACACAUCCCGAUACAGAACUCAAACUCAUUCAGUGAUGCUGAUAAAACUGCUGAAGUGGACAAGAUCAACAUCAUCGUGAAAUGUGCUGGGAAAACCACGGAAGUGGACAUGUUUCCCAGGGAAAGCAUCUCAGUUUUACUAAAGGAGGCCUGUGACCGGGCAGGGAAGAAACCAGAGAAAAUGAAACUGGUUUAUUAAGGUAAACAAAGCAUUCAUUCAUUCUAGAGGUCGACCGAUAUAUCGGUCGGCCGAUAUAUCGGGCCGAUAUUUGUCAUUUUUUAAUAUAUCGGCAUCGGCCGAUAUCCGUGUUUAGUAGCGCCAAUUUAAAUUCAGGCACGUCGGCGGGCAGCCCUGUGUUAUUGGUGCGGUGGAAAGUGCUGCUGCCGCAUGUGAAGGACCCCAAGCCAAAACUUUUGGAAGAUUCAACAACAGUCCUGGGAGAUAAAGGUAGUCAGAGAAUUUCACUCUGUAAAUGAGGUGGAGUAGGUGGCAGUUCUCACAAACACUGCAGCGUGAUUGAGGGCUCCGUUACUCCGCCCCGCUCACAGACAGCACCGUGCUUGGAGAGACAGCUGUCCUGGAGCAGCACAGAACGGUGAAUGACAUUUGUUCGGAAGCAUGGUUUAAUGCAGACAAUAGCCAGGUUUCCAUCCAACUCAUUUGCAUUUAGGGAUGUCAAUAUUUGAUCAUUUCCAUGAUCGAUCGUACGUUUAAAUUAACAAAAAAAGCUUUCUCACCCGAAUUAAAGGGGUUUUAGUCUGAAUAAAAUGCUAGUAGCAGGACUGUAAAAUGAAUAUGAAUAUGAUUAUGAUCAUUUGAUAAAAUGAAGGGAGCGCGUUGUACAUUUGAGAUCAUUUUACUUUGACUGUUUCUCGUCAAGGAGACCGCUGAACGCGCCUCUUUAAAUGGUUUCGUGGUGCUCGUUGUUGUAUUUUAAAACGCAAUUGCAAUGUUUUCAAAUGACACUAUAGUAUUAAAAAUAAAAUUAUCCCAAACGUAACUGUGGCGCAUGUGGCUGUGCUGCGCAGUCAGUGAACCGCUUUUUUCACAUUAAACAUUUUAUGCGAGUAUUAAUGACCAGUACUUU